rnacentral:rRNA from 1 species
CUACCGGGGUAUCUAAUCCUGUUCGCUACCCAUGCUUUCGCUCCUCAGCGUCAGUAACUGCCCAGUAACCUGCCUUCGCCAUCGGUGUUCCUCCUGAUAUCUGCGCAUUUCACCGCUACACCAGGAAUUCCAGUUACCCCUACAGUACUCAAGUUAUGCCCGUAUCGCCUGCACGCCCGGAGUUAAGCCCCGGAAUUUCACAGACGACGCGACAAACCACCUACGAGCCCUUUACGCCCAGUAAUUCCGGACAACGCUCGCACCCUACGUAUUACCGCGGCUGCUGGCAC